rnacentral:rRNA from 1 species
UACGUAGGGUGCGAGCGUUGUCCGGAAUUAUUGGGCGUAAAGAGCUCGUAGGCGGUCUGUCGCGUCGAAUGUGAAAACCCGGGGCUCAACUCCGGGCUUGCAUUCGAUACGGGCAGGCUAGAGUUCGGUAGGGGAGUCUGGAAUCCGUGGUGUAGCGGUGAAAUGCGCAGAUAUCAGGAGGAACACCGGUGGCGAAGGCGGAUCUCUGGGCCUUACCUGACGCUGAGGCGCGAAAGCUAGGGGAGCGAACAGG